rnacentral:rRNA from 1 species
GAUGAACGCUGGCGGCGUGCCUAAUACAUGCAAGUCGAGCGAAUGGAUUAAGAGCUUGCUCUUAUGAAGUUAGCGGCGGACGGGUGAGUAACACGUAGGUAACCUGCCCAUAAGACUGGGAUAACUCCGGGAAACCGGGGCUAAUACCGGAUAACAUUUUGAACCGCCUGGUUCGAAAUUGAAAGGCGGCUUCGGCUGUCACUUAUGGAUGGACCCGCGUCGCAUUAGCUAGUUGGUGAGGUAACGGCUCACCAAGGAAACGAUGCGUAGCCGACCUGAGAGGGUGAUCGGCCACACUGGGACUGAGACACGGCCCAGACUCCUACGGGAGGCAGCAGUAGGGAAUCUUCCGCAAUGGACGAAAGUCUGACGGAGCAACGCCGCGUGAGUGAUGAAGGCUUUCGGGUCGUAAAACUCUGUUGUUAGGGAAGAACAAGUGCUAGUUGAAUAAGCUGGCACCUUGACGGUACCUAACCAGAAAGCCACGGCUAACUACGUGCCAGCCGCCGCUGUAA